rnacentral:rRNA from 1 species
UGGGGAAUAUUGGGCAAUGGGCGCAAGCCUGACCCAGCCACGCCGCGUGAGUGAUGAAGGCCUUCGGGUCGUAAAGCUCUGUGGGGAGAGAAGAAUCAGCUGAGGGAACAAUACCCCUUGGCCCUGACGGUAUCUCCUUAGCAAGCACCGGCUAACUCCGUGCCAGCAGCCGCGGUAAUACGGAGGGUGCAAACGUUGCUCGGAAUUAUUGGGCGUAAAGCGAACGUAGGCGGUCCGAUAAGUCGGAUGUGAAAGCCCUCGGCUUAACCGAGGAAGUGCAUUCGAAACUGCCGGACUUGAAUACAGUAGAGGGUCGCGGAAUUCCCGGUGUAGAGGUGAAAUUCGUAGAUAUCGGGAGGAACACCAGUGGCGAAGGCGGCGACCUGGGCUGAUAUUGACGCUGAGGUUCGAAAGCGUGGGGAGCAAACAGGAUUAGAUACCCCCGUAGUCC